AUGAUGAGCCAAGGGGAGGGCCGAAGACUUCUGAGCAGAGGAAGGGAUGAGGAGAGGGUUCGUCUUUCCAAAGAAGACUUGGUGGUUGGCCGGAGAAUGGUCUACAGAGACACACCUGGAAGUGGAGAACCCAUGCGGGGCCAAGUCCAGGGUCCCCGGGACGAAAAGGCUGUGACUGUGUCUGCAUCAGGCUCAAGGACAGGCCGGACAUCAGGAGGAGAGGCAGAGCUCCCCCAAGCUUUCCCAGAGCCCAGCAGAAAGGCCCCGGCUGGGGGGAUGCGCUCUGCUCGAAGGCUCCCCAGGAGCUGGGGCUUAGCCUCUGCGCCCCACAAGUACUUGCUUCUCUCUGCUGGACUCUGAAUGCGCCUGGCAGAAGUGUGCGGCGGACUUCUGGGGGGCGGGAGCCGUCCCGCGCAGCGAUGCCCAGCAAAUGCACGUCUGCAAGAGGUAACAAAGUCUGGCUGACCCAUGGAUAUCAAUGGAUAGGCAUGGGGGAGCCAUAUGGGUGGAGGCCCCAAGUUAAAGCCCAAGAAUGGCCAAGGAACAGAAAAGAAAGGGGGGCCAUGGGUGGAAAGGCAUGGGUGAGGGAACAGGAAGACCUUUGUCGUCAUUGCUCCAUUAUAGAAGUCAUUUCUGCCUUUUCGUGACGGCAUUUGGGGUUUUCUUGGCAGGAGGACUGGAGAGAUCUGCCAUUCCCUUCUCCAGUUUAUUUCUAGAUUGGGAAACUGAGGCAAACAGGGUUAAAUGACUUGCCCAGGAUCCCAUAGCUAGUAAGCAUCUGAGGCUGGAUUUGAACUUGGAUUCUUCUGAUCCCAGGCCCAGUGUUCUAUCCACUAAGCCACUAGGUCCCCCAUGAGGACCUUAAAGACCAGCUAGUCCAAUUCACCCAUUGUUCCCCUGAGGAAAAGAAGGUAUCCAGCAGUGACAUAACUACCCAAAGAAGGGUCACAAAUAAGGGACCAAGCUGCAUUAGAACCCAGACUUCCUGCUUCGGAAUCCGAGGAUCUCUUUACAAUGUGAAAGAGUUACUGAAAGGAUUCUCCUCCUCUCUUAGAGAUGAGGAAGUUGAAGCUCACCUGGAUGACUUGCCAAGGGUGACGGAGCCACUGAGUGUCAGAAUCAAGAUUUAAACCCAGCGCCAGUGGCCUUUUCCUGUCCCCAUAUGACUCUUUGUCCUGCAAGAAGGUAUAGAAAGUGAUAGCUCCUUUAAAAUAGCCAUGGACAGAAUACAAUACUCAGGAGUGUACCCGGCAAAACAAACCCCAGAAACAUGAACAUAAUCAUAAAAACAUUCUUUACACAAAUCAAGUCAGCUUUGAAAAAUUGGAGAAAUAGUCAUUGUCCAUGGGUGGGCAGAGCC
rnacentral:lncRNA from 1 species